rnacentral:rRNA from 1 species
UGUAGCGGUGAAAUGCGUAGAUAUAUGGAGGANCACCAGUGGCGAAAGCGGCUCUCUGNUCUGUCACUGACGCUGAGGCUNGAAAGCGUGGGUAGCGAACAGGAUUAGAUACCCUGGUAGUNCACGCCGUAAACGAUGAGUGCUAGGUGUUAGGCCCUUUCCGGGGCUUAGUGCCGGAGCUAACGCAAUAAGCACUCCGCCUGGGGAGUACGACCGCAAGGUUGAAACUCAAAGGAAUUGACGGGGGCCCGCACAAGCGGUGGAGCAUGUGGUUUAAUUCGAAGCAACGCGAAGAACCUUACCAGGUCUUGACAUCCCGAUGCUAUUCUUAGAGAUAGGAAGUUACUUCGGUACAUCGGAGACAGGUGGUGCAUGGUUGUCGUCAGCUCGUGUCGUGAGAUGUUGGGUUAANNCCCGCAACGAGCGCAACCCUUAUUGUUAGUUGCCAUCAUUAAGUUGGGCACUCUAGCGAGACUGCCGGUAAUAAACCGGAGGAAGGUGGGGAUGACGUCAAAUCAUCAUGCCCCUUAUGACCUGGGCUACACACGUGCUACAAUGGUCGGUACAACGAGUUGCGAGCCGGUGACGGCAAGCUAAUCUCUGAAAGCCGAUCUCAGUUCGGAUUGGAGGCUGCAACUCGCCUCCAUGAAGUCGGAAUCGCUAGUAAUCGCGGAUCAGCACGUCGCGGUGAAUACGUUCCCGGGCCUUGU